ensembl:lncRNA
CACCCGGCGGCAGGGAAGCGGGGGGGGGCUGCUCGCCGAGGCCACCGGGGAGGAGCCCGCCGGGACCGGUGCGACCCAGCAGCACGGCGGAGCCGGGACGUGCCCGAAGCGCCGGGAGGAAAGACCAGCCGGGGAUAAACGCCGCGGGGGCAGCGGGCGGGAAGGAGCCCCCCGGCGCUGAGUGUCAUUGCUCUGCCCUUCUGCUACACUGACGUGCUUGGUGGAAACGUUGCAGUUCCCUGGCUGGACAAACUGUGUCACGCCUGUCAGCAACAGAAGUUCUGUACAGUGCUGCUUUCUCGCUGCAGGAGGCAACGUGUGCAGCCAAGCAGUUUUAGCCGUGUAACUGCCACAUCAGCAGGACAGGGGAGAAGGAUGCCUGACAACUAGAAGAAGACAAGGAGGCCAGGAGGAGAGAGGAUGUUAAGAGGACUUGAGAGAAAAAGUAUAGAAGUACCGGCUAAGAAAUACAUGGAUGACCAUUUACUACAGCAGCAGCAGAAUGUGCCUGCUAUGGCUACUACUUCUAAAACAAAACAAAAGGAAACAGCAGAAAUAAAAAACCAGUCACUGGCAAGAAUAUCUCCUUGCUGUAAAUUGGAUAGGUUUUAAAAAAUUGACAGCACUGUUCCUUCUGUUCUGAACAGGAGAUCUCCAGGUCCAGAACAACUCAUCAUAAAGAUACCUUCCUUAAUUAGAGUAGAAGUCACAUAUUUUGGGUCCACAUGAAGGUAAUAAGUGGUAGCAGUUAUAUGAAAUUAGAGGCAGGUGUGGUUACUAACAAAAGCGGAAGUAAAAACAAAUAACAUGCCAGGUGCUGAAGAAACUCCCAGAUAGGAAGUUUUGCGUACACUGUGAGCCCAAAUCUAAUCUGAUCUGAAGCUGAAAUUUGACUGCUAGUCCAAACCAUAUAUGUUUUUGCAUUUUGAAUGCAGGGAGAUUGUAAGUAUAUGCUUACUUCUGAGAGUAGUCCUCCAGAGAUUUGCUUUGUUUCCUUAUAGAAUUAUGAAGGUAAGUCAGCAUAUUGCCCAGAAAGUGUUUUUUUUUUUUUUUUUUUUUUUUUUUUUUAAACAACUACUGACAUCAUAAUUUGGCAAAUUGAUCUUAAAAAGAUUAAGUAGCUAUGCUGUGGUAAAAUAAAACAUCCAUUUCCCCUAAAAAAAUAUUUCCUGAUGCAUAUGCAACAAGUAUUACUAAUGAAGGAGAAAAUAAAUCAUUUAAAUCCCCGGGACUUAAUGUUGAAGUACUUUUCUUUUUCAGUAAGUAGCUAAAAAAGCAGAAGAGCACACAGACAAGGAAUCAUUUUACUGAAAAGAACUAGUUUUAAUUCCAGUAAUUUAGGGAAUCGAGUGAAUACCUCCUGAAAUAAGUAUUCUACAGUCAUUUUAGAUCAUUGGUUUGUGGUUUUUAUUGCCAAGUAAUAGUAAAAUUGAGCAAAUAAGUAUAUUUCUAGUACUUCAGCCUCAGAAUGUCUCCCACAGGAAGCAACAUGAAAAUAAUUUGGCUAGUAGUUCCUUUAUUUGUUGAUCCUCAGCUUCUUUGCAGGUCACGUUAAAUAAAGAGGCAAUAGCAAAAGGCAGUGUUUUUCAUGAAUUACUCAAGUCAAAUGAGCCAGAUGUGGCAGAACUAAGAAAUAGCAGGGCCUGAUACACUCUUUUGUUAAUUCCACUAAUUCUAGCUUAAUACUGGAGUAACACUGGUAAAAAGCGACCCAUAUUUUAAUUUAAAACCUCUAAUAUUCAUCUAUUAUUUAUAAGAAUAUAUAACAAAUAAUUGUGGCAAACAUUGCAUAAUAAACAUGAAAGGGAGAUUAACCUUGUGAAUUUUUAAGCUGAAGAAUAAAGACCAUUACAUUAAUAAGACUUAAUUAUAUCAUAAAAUAUUUAAAAUUAUGUCCUCUAAUAAAUGUUGUUUUUAUUUAACAUAUUUCUUUUUUUAAUCUAUUACUUUAGUAAAAUGCCUUUAAGAUGGAAACAAAAGGCAGCAGAGCUUUCUUUGUUGAUAUCUAUGCAAUUAUAGAAGAAGGGAGCCACAUGUCUUCAAGUCAAGGUCAGAUUUCAGGACAGAACAGCCUAUACUUCCGCAAGGCUCAACUCCUGGCCUAGAUGGGCUGGUGGGGGGCUGCAUCUUCAACCUUCCCUCUUCCCUCCAAUAAUGCCUCAAUUUUAUAAGACUGGCUUGGCUCUAUCCACAAUAAUGACUUAAAUAAUACAUGUAAAGCUCACCAGUUAAGUUUCUAGUCUUCCACUUACCAUGUAACACUACAAAAAAAAGGUAUAGAGGACAGCAUUCAAACACCAGCUUCUAUUCUGCAUGGGUAAGUUCACCCUUACUAUUGCAGACAAAUAGCAGGUGUAAAAGCAAUAGUAGGAAAUGAUAAGGAAACCUUCAGUGAAGUUAGCAUCUUGAAAGAUACAGCAAGGGUCAUUCUGUUUGCAAAAACUGGAAGACACGGGCUUUGCAAGGAAUACAGCUGACUCCAAUAUCCUUGUGUCCAUGUCACAAGUCCUUUUCUUUACAAUAGUUCAUCUCAGCUUAUUUCCUCAAGAAAUUACUAUUGUUCUUCAAAAGACAAAACCUAAGAAGUUGCAGUGAAAAUCAAACCAAACACCAGGCAAUUAUUCAACUCACACCAGACAAGCCAAAUGUCCUGGAAGAAUUUUUUUUUUUCUCCAGCACAACUCCAUAACUUUUGAUGUCUUCCUAUAAUUAUAACAUUUCGAUACAGCAUUUCUCUCUUGAGCCCACUGUUCUUUGUGUCUUGUCUAUACUGCAUAUCCAGGUAGCCUGCAUGCCUCAGCUUUCAACUGAAAAAACUAUGCUCUAUAUAUAUUUGCAGAAACACUGAUUAAAAUCAACUGCAAACACUAACAAAUCAAAUCUACCUCAUCAACAUUACAGAUUUAUCACAGUAAGGCUACAAUGUAAUGGUCUUUUAGUGGAAAUUCUCUUCAUUUACAAUCGCACAAAUACGAGGCCCUAUCCAUGAAGCUGUUUUGCUUUUUUCCAGCUAAGUCAUUCUUUUCUGUUUACUAGAGUAGUGCUGUUUCUGAUUUCAUCCCUACAAAUUCUGUUUAUUUUUGUAAUAUUCUUUUGACUUGUCUUCUGUAGAUUAUGUGUUUUGUUGCUACAAUUGUCUUCCCACUAUCCCUCACCAUUUCCCACUCACACAUCUGUCAUCAUCCAUACUGUAAUUACAGAAAUGUUAUUUGCUGGUAGACAGAUGCAUAGGGUUGCUCACAGGAGUACUGCCAUUAUUCAGUGCAAAUAGUAUACAGAAUAUUAAAGAAUCAUAGGAAUCAAGUUUUACUAAAAGAGUAUUCUGCAAGUUACCAAAACAAACACUGAACUAAGUGUGGUUCUUGUUUACACAUUGGACAACUGUCAUCUAAAACUAGGUAACAUUUAUUUCAAUCUGGCAGCUCCAAGUGCACUGGAGAUACAAAGUCUUUUAAUUAACAUGCACGGUACUGCAAAUAUACACAGGUGUAGACAUCUUUCAGUAGGUAUAGCUGCCAGUCACAUCACAUUGCUACAGUUGUUUGUUUUUUUUUUUUCCUUUCAAUGAACAAGUGAAAAAUGGGGUUAAAAAGCAAACAAGCACUGAGCCUUCACUUCAGUAUCUUCCUGAAAAUAAGGCAUGACAUUACUUGGAAUAGCUAUAAAAAUGAGUAGUUUGUCUUUUUUGAGCAGCAUCAUAUUAUACUGCUUUAUUUAACUAAGAGUCAAGAAGCAGCACACAUAAUAAGUAGGCUUCCAUUAGAGAUACUUUUUUUUUUUUUAAGAGUUAUUUAGCUUUGCUUUGAAGUUUUCAUAAAUAAGGCACCUGUUUCCAACUGUCUAAAGAAUCAACAAGUUAUAUAGUACUUAAUAUUAAAAAUGUUCAUCUGUAGAACAAAUAAGGAAUACAGCAUCUAUGAUAGGUAAAAUGGAUCACUGCUGAAAUACAAGGAAUAGAAGUCUUCCUUAACAUACAUACAAACCAACAUAGUUAAGCCAACAUUGAAAAACCCCUGGCAAGUAUUUAUCAUCAUGCCACUAAAAUUUCACCUUGGAAUGUGUUUCAGCUAUACACAACAGCAUGUAAAAGGCUCCACAUCUAGCCUCUACAUUGGUUAAGCUGGAAAAGAAAGAGUGAAGAUAGUGCCAGUACAGAAAAGAAUGAUGGAAACAUUGCAUCGAAGAUGCUUUCCCAUGGUGAUUCUGCCUUUCCCUUUGACUUCAGCCAAAGCAGAAGAUUCUCAGCAGCAUGCCCCACGCUUUUUCCCCUCCCAAACGCUAGCCUUGCAACUGCCAUAACACAAAAGCACAUAUAGGGGCAUGAGUACACAAAUGCACAUAUAGACUGCUCAUACUGUAGAGGCUUACAAGUGCUCAGUAUAUUGUAAGAUCACUUCUGAAAAGCCAGCAACUGCUGUCAUUGAAUAAGAUAGGAUUUACCACUUGCUUUUUAUAGUUCAGCCCAGACAUGUUUAGAUGAGUGUAUGGUUUUCACAUAAAGCUUUCUGUUAAAGUGCCUUCAGACAGACUUUUAGUCUCCACACAACAGUUCACUGCACACCCUCACUGAGUUGUCUCAUAUAUAAUUUAAAUGUUUAAUGCAAAGUAAAGCUAAUGUUAACAAUACAUAUUUUUGAAGACUGACAGUAUAAUGCUUUGUUUCCUAAAGGAAUAACUAGAGUGAUCCAUAAGCAAAUAUAAACUCAAGUAACACUGAACAGAUAUAAAUUGUGCUCAUCCUUGAGAAACCUUAGAGAGCAUGAUUCUCAUCCUCCUUCUUAGCUAGGCAAAGUGCGAUUUACUGUGGUUUUCUUUCAGAUGAGGUAUUAAAAGCUGCAGUGCACUCCCUAAUGUAUUAGUAUGAAUGAUACUUUUGGAACUGUGAUGUCUGAUAAACACUGCGUGCUGCUGACUGAUGGCUCUUUCUAGCCUAGAAUGAUACUUUGACUUAGUAGGUUUGUGUGAGCUCAGAGCAAAAGCUAAGAAUAUUUAGAAGCUGAGGAUUUAAAAUUAGUAUAAAUAUAAUAUCAUUCAAAUUAAUAGGAAUAUCCUCUCAAGCCAUCCUGAAUGUUCCUUUAGGGUUUUCCCUUGCAGGAAAUUACUGGAUAUUAUCCUAGCACGGUUCUGGACAUUCUUUACAGCUAAUCAUUCUCCAAGCCCAUGGAUGACAAUCCCCAUAAGCAGGAUCAGAGACAGCAGAGUCAUCCUCCUUGUGAACAUGCACAUUCUCUUGUGUCCUUGCUGCAAGGGCCCCAGAUUCUUUUAUAAACCACUCAGAAGCAGCAGUUCUGCUAACUGUAUGAUUAAUACCUGCUCAAUAAGAAGGUGGUAUCUUCCACAUACAAUAAAUGUAGAUGAUUGUGACAACAACGCUGAGGAAAUGAUUUAGAAAUGGGUAAAAAGAUAAACUCAGAAGAUUAAUCUUUGGCAGUUUUUCUUAAGCUGUGUUAUUGUCUACUGUGUAUAGUAAAUACACAUUAAAUAAAAGAGAACUUUCU